GUCGACACAGUUUCUCUUCCACCGUCGUCUGACAUUCCAGACGGGGUUGUGAAGGGGAAGGGGAGCUGGCGAGGAGAAAGCCACUUCACUGCAGCCAUACGUAACGUCCUGACAUUCCUUCGGCCGUACAAGCCUUCCGUUAUCAUGCCACAGAUCUGGCCUUAUCUGAGCUCCUGUCACGCAACUGCGGCUUGUCUGGCUGCUUUUUUUUUUUUUCACAAGGUAUCUAGUGGAGCUCUGCCCUGGAAUGUCAUGAAUAUCAAGGGUUUGGUUGACGUGUGUCUCUCUUUAUCAGCAGUGACGGAAAAAGGUUGAAAAUUCUAUCUCGGUUUUGUCACGCGAGCCUUUUUUCUCUUUCUCUUCCUUCAUUUUUCUACGUGGUACCUGCAUUGACGCCGGGCUAGCUCAUCCAUUCAUAUGUUUUUUGUUGAAGCAGGUUUGGGCUUCAACACAUUGGCCUCUUUCACAGGAAAGUUCCACGUUGACCCUGUUAACGGCAGCGCUCACAUGAGAUUUGGCAUAUGGCACAACAGACCGGCUGCCUGUGUCUGCGCUCUGUGCUGAUGUAAAGGUUAGAACAAGCCAGUACAGCCACAGGAUGUUACAGAGGCCCCUCCGUCACAAACAUAAUCCUCUUACAGAUUUACUUCAGUUGUUCCCUCGGGUCAUCUGGCACAGGUUUCCUCAGUGUUUCCUGGAUCAAGACCAAGCAAGACAUGUCACUGCCAGGGCCUAGCACUCCACGAGAUACUACACAACCUGCCGUUGGUUUGCUUGAAUUUCCUUUGUCGUCUUGUGUUUAUAUCACACAUCUUUGUUUGAUGAUAUUCAAACAAUGAAGGACAGGCUGUUUUCUUCCCUUUCAUCGAUAUUAGACAAAUGUGUGAUUCAAACUGUCAACCCUCUGGCAGCAAUUAUAACAGUUUCUAUUAAUAAAAGUAAAUGAGACAAAAUCUCAUGAUGCAGCACACAAACACACUGAUGUAGCGUCAUGAUGACACAGCUAUGACAGUUAACAAUAGCAAUAUUCUACUAUAAAUAUAAAUCUGUUCCUAUGACGAAGCAUCGUCACCGUUAUCAUCUUUACUGUGACGUAGAACUGAACCUUGAGUUGUUGUGAGCAGUCACGCUGUUUUAUAAUCAUAUUGUUGUAUACUCAUAUUGUUUUAUGGCGAUGCCGAUGAUCUUUUAUUCCUUUGCGUCGAGGUUUAUGCCACCUUUCAAAUUACAGAGUGUAUGUCAAAGGUUUUAAUCAAACGCUUCAGAUUUAGAUUUUUUUUUUUUUUUUUUUUAGAGAAGCAAGAAUGUGUCACAUAUCUGAUGUGGAAUAGUGAUGAAACUCACACCGGCAUCUCCCACAUACCUGAUCCAAACUGGAUGAGGUAGACAGAGAAGGGUGGGAUCGUGUCUCUUCCUGUCAUGGCAGCUGUGUCUGACACAUUAUAUAACCAUUGUUUCCACAGGCCCGUGUUAAUUAAAAUGACUUUGAAGUUGAGUCAGAGCUCAGUUGCUAAAUGGAGCAGCCAAUUGGCAACAUUGUGAAACUGGCAAAUGACGUUAUGGUCAAGUCUGUCUGCUGAUACCGACAGAAAAAUGUGAUGAUAAAGACAAAGGAGUGAAUCUAUCAGAAGCAGGAUUUUCUUUUCUUUUACUUUCUUUUAACGCGAAUCAGUACAAAAUGACCCUUUUUGUUUUUUCAGGAUUGCACCUUGACAUUGUCUCACACCACACCCAGACUGUCUCACGCACAUACUCAAAAAAAAAAAAAAAAAUCCCAAUGCUUUAAUGCCCCUGGACCUGGCAAUUGACAGAGGGUUCCUUCCCCCUCCAGAGCACCCUCAUCAGAUCAUAAAAGACGCCUAACGACUUUCACACCAUAAACACACACACACUCCUGCCAGCCUCCCCUCCUGACAACAGGGAAUCUGAAGACACAAAGGGGUGUGUGUGUGUGUGUGUGUGUGUGUGUGUUGGUUGAAGGAGGAGGGGGAGUCGCACAUAUGUCACCAAAACUGCAGCCUGUCUGAGGGAGCUGGUGAGGUAAUGAAUGAGCCUUUUCAUGGCGUUGGAGGCAUCAUCACUGGUGAUGUUUUCUUCCGGAGACCAACGUUUGUUUUGCUGUCAGAUAAGAAGUGGACGUCAGUUUUUACAGAGUGAAUUUUUGUCCAGUUUGUCAGAAUUCUGGUGUUUAAAAGCACAGCAAAGUUUUCUCCCUCAAAACCUUCAUUUGGCACAGAAGGUUGUUCUUGUGGUGAAAACCUUGGGGUAGCGUCAGCAUCAUCACCUAUGGAGGAAGUUUUCUCUCCAUUUUCUCACACCCCACCCAGGGUCAGAGCCAAUGUUUUGGCUAAUUUGCAACCCAAACAUAUUCUUUUCCCUUUCACGGCCAUUGCGGUCUCCACCUCCCCGUUGAGUGUGUGUGAGCCGGGGGGGGGGACCUACAAGGCCGGUGCUUGACUGAGCCCUGAAUGCUCUUUAGUUGUCACACUUUUCCCAAACGCCUUGCAGCUGCUCCUAUUGUGGCCGCAGAGGGAGGGCUCCUUCGAUGAUUCUUUAGGCCUCCUGCUGUUGCCCUGGUCUCACAUGGGUUCACUGAGAGGGAGUGUGGCCCCAACAAUGGCCGACGCCAUGACAUCAUGCCGCUUCUGUGUGGGCAAGAUGUAAGAUUCCGUUGCAUGGGACAAAACAAGGAGAGAUGUGCACAAAGAUAUAUCUGACGUGCCAGUAGGUCAGGGUCAUCUCAGCUUCAUCGAGGUCCUGUGAAUGUUUUUCAACUUGUGCCUUAAGAAGCCUCAGAAUAAAAUUACAUUUGUGAAAUA